UUGCUUUAGCAGCAUAUAUACUAAAAUUGGAAUGAUACCAAGAAGAUUAGCAUGGUCCCUGUGCAAGGUUGACAUGCAGUAAAUUAGGAGUUUAAGAGUAAC